GGGACAUGGAUGAAGCUGGAAACCAUCAUUCUCAGCAAACUAUCGCAAGGACAAGAAUCAUAUUUCUGAGACAAGAAAGGAAAAGACAGAGAGAAAAUAUCAUCUGAACCUCAAGCUGAAUGUGUUUUUUCUAGAAAACGCUAAAUUGCCUCAGAGAGACUUGGUGGUUACACACAGGGUGGUUCCUGCCGCCAAAAUUAUGUGCGUUGUAAUUCUUGCAUGCCACAUCAUGUUGCUGCAAAAGCAACCAGAAGUCACAGUUGUCCCUAGAAAACCACAGUGACUGGACACAUUCCCUUUGUGGCUGUGCCAGAAUGAGUUCCUGUCAUCUGUUCCCACCUCAUUUAUGAGGCAUCACCUUCCACCUUGAGUCGAAGCUUCACUGUAGUGUGAUGUGACUGCAAAGAAGAAAGUAAGUGUCCUUAAAUGAAUGUCAUCCUGAGCUUUACACACAAACCUUUCUCUAGUUAUCAGAGCUUGCUAUUUACACAGGGAUAACUUCUUAUGCCUCUAGUAUUUCACAAGCACUCACUGAAAGGUUGAUAAAUUGAAAAGAUGGCAUCUCCUUCUCUGUGUAGUCUUUGCCAGUGUCCCCAAAAUUGCUGUGCUCUAUUACAUAAUACUUCCUUAGCCAGAUUCCAAGAAUUCUAUAGGCUGUAAUUUUAUCCUAGGAAAACCAGAGGAUAUUAAAUGAUCUAAACUGUCUUAGGCAGAAAUCUCUGACUUGGCUGCCCUUUGAAGUUUGUAUCUGAAACUUUUUGAUGUCUUAAUAUUGUUUUAGAAAUUGGGGGGUGAGGAGUUGACUUUGUAAAUCAUUUUAGGAUUGCAAAAAUGACAUUAUGAUGAUGAAUGGCACAAGGCUUUAAAAAAAGUUUCUCUGAAUAUUAAAUUAAUCACAAACCGAGGCUGUCUAACAUUAGCUCCUGAUAACUUAGAGAUCCUGUGGCAUUCCAGAUGCUCUAUGAAACAGAAAUAUUCUGUCUUUAUUAUGAGCACCUUUCCACAUCUGCAAUUCUGUUAUACAAU
rnacentral:lncRNA from 10 species